AUCUGGUAGAUACUCAAAGGCAGGAAGAGGACUGGCAAAUCUUUCUAGUGAAGAAGAAGCAAGGCUUCAGGCUUCCAGGUGAGAAGUACGGGGCUUCACAAUUGAGAAUCAGAGUGAAAAGGAGAAACUGGCCUUUAUUGAUUAUCGACUAUUAUCAGUCAUUCUUGGAUAAGAAAGGCUGAGAAUUCCCUCUGCAGCAACCCUGACAAAUGAGCAUGGAACUUCAGGGAAAAUUUCUCCAGAAUAGUGAAGCUCAUUACCAGAGACCCACCCAGACAGCAAGAUGAAGCUUAACAAAAAAUAAAGGAAUGGCCUCCACUUGGAUUCAAAAUGAAAACUGCAAAAAUUUCAAGAUAAAAAGACCUCCAUAAUGAUAAAGAAACAACCUACAGCAAAAACCUUCAGCUGAGCCCAUCUUAUUUCUGCCACAGAAUUUUAGAAUUGGGUGUACAUGCACCUCAGCAGUAUUCUGAGCACCUGAGCAGUAUUCUUCCCUUUGAUAUCUACAGAAUUUUUUGGCCAACAUGUUUCCAGAAACAGAGAACCAUUCACGACUUUCCAAUAAAGCUAUUCCACAUUUAGACAAAUAUAUUCAAUGUUAAUACUAAAAGCUGCUCCCUAUUCCAAAUUCUCACAUCAUGCCUUAACUCUUGUCUUUGGGACAACUUAGACUGUUUAUUCCUUAACCACAAACAGUCCACCACAUACUUGAGGAAGAUUCCCAUAGCUACAGAACUCAACUCUUUCCCAAAUAAAAUUUACCUUCACUUUUCCCGGCAAGACAUUGAAAUCAAUUACUCUUCCCUGGUAGAAUGGAACUUCUAUGAGUAAAUAUGGGGCAUGCAUGUCAAGGAAAAGGUGGAUGUUAGCUUAAACAAAGAAGUGAGAUCCUGGGAGAAGUUCAACAUAUUGCAGUAUUUACCCUGAAAGACACUCAGUCUUAAAUAAAAAUAAAUCAAAUAUUUUAAUCUUCUUUUAACUCAUUCAUCCCAAUAUGACAAUGAAUUUUCAUAUAUCACUUUAAAUUCAUGACACACACAAGUCAAAUAUUGAACACUGAUUUUGAGUCAUUGCAGGGCACAAAAAUUGUGAGCUCUUUCAGACCCAAAAUAACACUACACAACCAAAUGCCCCCGUAACAAUUUUUCUCACAGUUAAUUUUAAGUAGUACUCAAAGACCAGUUAUAAAGCAGAGAAAACAGCAUCUUUUGCUAAGCAUUGCCAAGUUAGAAUACACAAGAAUAGAUGCAAAGAAUUCCACCAACCUUUGAGGGCUGCAAGGUUGCUGAAAGCCUUUCAGAAAACCCAUGGCCUAAAUCUACAGCCCAAAUGCAUUGCCAUAGCAUACAAUAAGUGGCUGUGGCAUGAUCAGUGAGGAGAGAGAGGACUCUGAUCAGUGAUUCUGAAGACAUCCCAGAGCAGGAAACAUGGAGCGUGGGUGGGCACCCACAAUCUCCCUGACAUAGGAGUCAAGCUGGCUCUAUGGAUUGAGCCCUGCUUCCCUGCCUGACAACAUCUCUGGAAGCAAAGCAGCAAACUUCCAUAGGCUU
rnacentral:lncRNA from 10 species